rnacentral:rRNA from 1 species
UGUAUGUUGACGUAUUCUGAAAGGGAUACUUCUUCGGACAAUAUACAAGGUGCUGCAUGGUUGUCGUCAGCUCGUGCCGUGAGGUGUCGGGUUAAGUCCCAUAACGAGCGCAACCCUAUCAUUAGUUGCCAUCAGGUAAUGCUGGGGACUCUAAAGGAACUGCCUACGCAAGUAGUGAGGAAGGCGGGGAUGACGUCAAAUCAGCACGGCCCUUACGUCCAGGGCUACACACGUGCUACAAUGGCCGAUACAGAGGGCAGCUACCUGGUGACAGGAUGCAAAUCUCCAAAGUCGGUCUCAGUUCGGAUCGGAGUCUGCAACCCGACUCCGUGAAGUUGGGUUCGCUAGUAAUCGCGCAUCAGCCAUGGCGCGGUGAAUACGUUCCCGGGCCUU